AGCAAUCACAAUCAAUACUUGUGUCUUGAAACUAUAUUUGGGCAUCAUCUUUAAAAUAGGAAAACGUUUCUUCAAGACUCCAAAUGAUCUCUCAAUAAUGGUUCUUAAUGAUGAGUGUGUAAAAUUAAAUAGCUCCUCUACUCCUUGUGGUUGUCUACAUUUAAAAUCUUGUUGAUGAUAUCAAACAUCCUUGAAAA